CACGUAGGGUGCGAGCGUUGUCCGGAAUUAUUGGGCGUAAAGAGCUCGUAGGUGGUUUGUCGCGUUGUUCGUGAAAACUCACAGCUUAACUGUGGGCGUGCGGGCGAUACGGGCAGACUUGAGUACUGCAGGGGAGACUGGAAUUCCUGGUGUAGCGGUGGAAUGCGCAGAUAUCAGGAGGAACACCGGUGGCGAAGGCGGGUCUCUGGGCAGUAACUGACGCUGAGGAGCGAAAGCGUGGGGAGCGAACAGG
rnacentral:rRNA from 1 species